rnacentral:rRNA from 1 species
UACAGAGGUCCCAAGGGUUGUUCGGAUUCAGUGGGCGUAAAGGGUGCGUAGGUGGCGGGGUAAGUCGGAUGUGAAAUCUCGGGGCUCAACCUCGAAACUGCAUUCGAUACUGCCUUGCUAGAGUACUGGAGAGGAGAUCGGAAUUUACGGUGUAGCAGUGAAAUGCGUAGAUAUCGUAAGGAAGACCAGUGGCGAAGGCGGAUCUCUGGACAGUUACUGACCCUGAGGCACGAAGGCCAGGGGAGCAAACGGG